rnacentral:rRNA from 1 species
AUUGAACUCUGGCGGCAGGCUUAACACAUGCAAGUCGAGCGAGCGGCAGACGGGUGAGUAAUGUAUGGGGACUGCCCGAUGGAGGGGGAUAACUACUGGAAACGGUAGCUAAUACUGCAUACUAUCGGAUAACCCAUAUGGGAUUAACUAGUAGGUGGGGUAAAGGCUUACCUGGGCGACGCUCUCUAGCUGGUCUGAGAGGAUGAUGAGCCACACUGGGACUGGGACACGGCCCAGACUCCCGCGGAGGCAUCGGUGGGGUAUAUUGCAGCAGGGGCGCUAACCUGAUGAAGCCAUGCCGCGUGUAUGAAGAAGGCCUUAGGGUUGUAAAGUACUUUCAGCAGGGAGGCGUUUCCCGCAUAAGAGGCACCGGCUAACUCCGUGCCAGCAGCCGCGGUAAUAC